AGAGUUUGAUCCUGGCUCAGGAUGAACGCUAGCGACAGGCUUAACACAUGCAAGUCGAGGGGCAUCAUGAGGUAGCAAUACCUUGAUGGCGACCGGCGCACGGGUGAGUAACGCGUAUGCAACCUGCCUGAUACUCGGGGAUAGCCCAUGGAAACGUGGAUUAACACCCCAUAGUACUUUUAUCCUGCAUGGGAUGUGAGUUAAAUGUUCAAGGUAUCGGAUGGGCAUGCGUCCUAUUAGUUAGUUGGCGGGGUAACAGCCCACCAAGACGAUGAUAGGUAGGGGUUCUGAGAGGAAGGUCCCCCACAUUGGAACUGAGACACGGUCCAAACUCCUACGGGAGGCAGCAGUGAGGAAUAUUGGUCAAUGGACGAGAGUCUGAACCAGCCAAGUCGCGUGAGGGAAGACUGCCCUAUGGGUUGUAAACCUCUUUUAUAAGGGAAGAAUAAGUUCUACGUGUAGAAUGAUGCCUGUACCUUAUGAAUAAGCAUCGGCUAACUCCGUGCCAGCAGCCGCGGUAAUACGGAGGAUGCGAGCGUUAUCCGGAUUUAUUGGGUUUAAAGGGUGCGUAGGCGGUUUAUUAAGUUAGUGGUUAAAUAUUUGAGCUAAACUCAAUUUGCCAUUAAUACUGGUAAACUGGAGUACAGACGAGGUAGGCGGAAUAAGUUAAGUAGCGGUGAAAUGCAUAGAUAUAACUUAGAACUCCGAUAGCGAAGGCAGCUUACCAGACUGUAACUGACGCUGAUGCACGAGAGCGUGGGUAGCGAACAGGAUUAGAUACCCUGGUAGUCCACGCCGUAAACGAUGCUCACUGGUUCUGUGCGAUAUAUUGUACGGGAUUAAGCGAAAGUAUUAAGUGAGCCACCUGGGGAGUACGUCGGC
rnacentral:rRNA from 1 species